rnacentral:rRNA from 1 species
CGGGACGGGUGAGUAAUGUCUGGGAAACUGCCCGAUGGAGGGGGAUAACUACUGGAAACGGUAGCUAAUACCGCAUAACGUCGCAAGACCAAAGAGGGGGACCUUCGGGCCUCUUGCCAUCGGAUGUGCCCAGAUGGGAUUAGCUAGUAGGUGGGGUAACGGCUCACCUAGGCGACGAUCCCUAGCUGGUCUGAGAGGAUGACCAGCCACACUGGAACUGAGACAUGGUCCAG